CGAGUUUCAAUAUGACGAAAAAUGACAUCAAUUUAUUGAUAGGACUAUGAAUCUCAAAUUCUUCCAGACUCGUGCGAAAAUAGAGUUUGUAUGAUGUUGAAAUGUUGUAAUGCAAACUAACCUCCCUUCUGGGACUCUCUGAACCCAUGGAUCUUUGCGAGGCGGACCAAAUAACACGUGCUAAUGCGCUGCAGGAAUGUCUCGUUAGUCUUAUCCACGACUCAUCUUUGGAAGCUCACUUGGAU